rnacentral:lncRNA from 1 species
AGAAAAAGAAAAAAAAGAAAAAGAAAAAUAGAAAAAGAAAAUAGAAAAGAAAAAAAUGAAUAAAAAAAUAGAAGGAUGUCAAUAAAUACAUACUCCUUCUGAAAAAGAAAAAAAGGAAUAAAAAGAGAAAGAAGAAGAGAAAAUAGUUGCUAUAGAGUUGUUGAAGUGAAUGAAAUCUUUUGUAAAUUCAACUCCCGCAGUUUCUUUCAAGUCUAUUUUGUCUAUUUGAAU